rnacentral:snRNA from 1 species
GUCGUUGGCUAAGUCCGUUCG